rnacentral:sRNA from 1 species
AAGUGAGGGUGGGGCUCAGCCGGUCAUCUGAUCUUUAAGAUUUGCUUACUAGUCAAAAGAUGUUACGAAUCACCCAAUCCAAUCCCUCCAACACCCCUCCUUAGAUAAGUGUUGAUUGAUUCUGGGCUGGAAUUCUGUAUUGCAAAUGAAGAAGAGGUUUUUGUAAUUAAAGUUAUUAGUACCAGAAAAACCCUGAGCAAUACUCAGAUGGGUGUCAUAGUCUCUGGAGAAACCUGAUUUUUUCUAAGUUCCACUACUCUACUGCCAUUAGUCCUAGGGUUUUUCCUAAGUGUCUAAUCAUCAAGCUCCUCCACUUUGGCAAAAAUAGUUGUUUGAUUCUGGGCUG